rnacentral:sRNA from 1 species
UCCUAGCCCCGAUAGAAGUGGAAAUCCUUUUGUCCGCCACGGCGGACAAAAGAUUGGAACGGAUUGCUUCGCCAGUU